UCCUAGAAAUUAUCAACAACCAUCACAGAUCAUCACAAAAAUAUUCUUUAUCUCUCUAGAUCCUUCUUGCAUUGUCAUCCUAGAGUCAAAGAAGAGACAUAAUGGCUAGUUGGACACCAUUAAAUGGAGCUAUCUACCAACCUAUAGCAUCUAAUAACUAAGGAUUAAGAACCACAAUGUAGGUGUAAGUUAAGAACGUGCAAAUUUAUUAUAUAUGUGAGAGUGCUAUGGAGUGCCGCCAAAUGAGAUAUUCUUCCAAGCAUUGAGAGUGUGUAUCCCACUCUAAUUAAUGCAUGAGUGUA
rnacentral:lncRNA from 1 species